rnacentral:ncRNA from 1 species
GGAACCCGGUGUGAACCCGGGACAGUUGGCGCUGCGGUAACUGAGCACAAAUCUCCAAUACCAAUCUUAAGAUUUCUUAGGGUGAAGGUGGAGAGGAGGCUAUGACUCAGGAGUCCGAAUAC